GAGAAAUCCACAGUAGAGAAGAAAUCAGAUAUAAUGCAGCCUCAGGAGAAAGUAGAUGGACAACUACUAACUUGAACGCGACAUUUCCAUCAAGAAAAAAAACAAACUCGGAACCGUCAAAAAAUGUUAAUAGCCUGCAACGGUUGUUUGAGUCUGCAUCAGCUGUGAAUCCAAAAGGUACAGAACUUAAGGGUCAGAGUUCCCAUGACUCAAUUGGCAGAUUCCCUGGUUCUUCAUACGGAUACAAUACUUCAUACAAUAAUUCUAGAAGAAAUACACCAGUUUCGCCUAGAACUGCUUUUAAUCCCUCUUACACUACUGCAGAUUAUAAUUCAGGAAGCAUAUCCAAUCCUACACAUCGACCGUCAUAUACUUUUCCUGCUCAGAAAACAAGU